CAUCACUACGCUAGAUGCAUAUCAAUAAGCGGAGGAAAAGAAACUAACAAGGAUUCCCUUAGUAACGGCGAGUGAAGCGGGAAGAGCUCAAAUUUGAAAUCUUCAAGGUUUUACCUUGACGAAUUGUAGUUUAAAGAAGUGUUUUCUGUUGAAGUUUCGGUAAAAGUUCUUUGGAAUAGGACAUCAUAGAGGGUGAGAAUCCCGUAUUUGACCGUUAUUUUCAGCUGUGUGAUACACUUUCAGAGAGUCGGAUUGUUUGGGGAUGCAGUCCAAAAUGGGUGGUAAAUUUCAUCUAAAGCUAAAUAUUGGCGAGAGACCGAUAGCGAACAAGUACCGUGAGGGAAAGAUGAAAAGAACUUUGAAGAGAGAGUUAAACAGUACGUGAAAUUGUCAAAAGGGAAGCGUUUGACACCAGUGUUGUUUUCUCGAAAAUCAAUUACGAAUGUUUCGUUUUUAAGAAGUUAUGACUUCAUCGGCUUGCUUCUUUCUUUACGAAACUUUCUUAAUGCACUUUUCGGUUAACAAGUCAACAUCAAUUUCUUUUGUUGUAAAAGGGUAUGAGGAAGGUGGCUUUCUUUUCGGAGAAAGUGUUUAUAGCCUUGUAGCCUCUGCAAUCGGAGAGAUUGAGGUCUGCAGCGUAGAUCCUUCGGGGUUAGAUACAUUUGUGCUAAGUUAUAGCUUGUCAUAGACAACAUUGUUGACUAUGUUAAGUCAUUGUAGCUUACUCGCUUAGUGCUAUUUUACCUACGCUUAGGAUGUUGACGAGACUGUCGAUCUC
rnacentral:rRNA from 1 species